GACGGGGAUUGAGAAGGAUCCUGUAGAAGAUUACGCGCAACGUGUAUGGUUCGAAGCCCCUGAUGAGAAGUAUGAGUGUGAGUUUGACAUGCCUGAAGACUUUGGAACCAUUGGUGCCAUCAGAGUUCAAAACCAGUACCAUAGACAGUUGUUCCUCAAGAAGAUGGAGAUUGAGUUACCUGACGGGACUGUUACGUUUACAUGUGAAUCAUGGGUGGCCUCUAAGACUGUUGACCCAGCCAAGAGGGUAUUCUUCUCCACCAAGUCCUACUUGCCAUCCGAAACCCCGGAGCCUCUUAUACAGCUUCGAAAGAAAGAGCUAGAGACUUUAAAAGGCAACGACCGCGAAGAAGAUGGUGAAUUCACCAAGUUCGAACGCGUCUACGACUACGACGUGUACAACGAUGUUGGUGAC
rnacentral:lncRNA from 1 species